AAUACCCCAUAUGCCUCCGGGUGAAAAGUAAUUCGCCUGAAGAUGAGCUCGCGUCAGAUUAGCUAGUUGGUGGGGUAAGAGCCUACCAAGGCGACGAUCUGUAGCUGGUCUGAGAGGAUGAUCAGCCACACUGGGACUGAGACACGGCCCAGACUCCUACGGGAGGCAGCAGUGGGGAAUUUUCCGCAAUGGGCGCAAGCCUGACGGAGCAAGCACGCGUGGGGGAUGACGGCCUAAUGGUUGUAAACCCCUUUUCUCUGGGAAGAAGACUGACGGUACCAGAGGAAUCAGCCUCGGCUAACUCCGUGCCAGCAGCCGCGGUAAUACGGAGGAGGCAAGCGUUAUCCGGAAUUAUUGGGCGUAAAGCGUCCGUAGGUGGUUAUUCAAGUCUGCUGUCAAAGCGUGGGGCUUAACUCCAUAGAGGCAGUGGAAACUGAGUGACUAGAGUGCCGUAGGGGUAGAGGGAAUUCCCGGUGUAGCGGUGAAAUGCGUAGAGAUCGGGAAGAACAUCGGUGGCGAAAGCGCUCUACUGGACGGCAACUGACACUCAGGGACGAAAGCUAGGGGAGCGAAUGGGAUUAGAUACCCCAGUAGUCCUAGCUGUAAACGAUGGAUACUAGGUGUAGCUUGUAUCGACCCGAGCUGUGCCGAAGCUAACGCGUUAAGUAUCCCGCCUGGGGAGUACAGCACGCAAGUGUGACACUCAAAGGUAUUGACGGGGGCCCACAACAAGCGGUGGAGUAUGUGGUUUACUUCGAUGCAACGCGAAGAACCUUAGCAGGGCUUGACAUGUCCGGAAUCGCGAUGAAAGCUGGGACUCUCUUCGGGAGCCAGAACACAGGUGGAGCAUGGCUGUCGUCAGCUCGUGUCGUGAGAUGGUGGGAUAAGUCCCGCAACGAGCGCAACCCUCGUCUUUAGUCGCCAGCAUUAAGUGGCGCACUCAAGAGAGACUGCCGGUGACAAACCGGAGGAAGGUGGGGAUGACGUCAAGUCAGCAUGCCCCUUACGCUCUGGGCGACACACGUACUACAAUGGUCGGG
rnacentral:rRNA from 1 species